CAGCAGCCACGGUAAUACGAAGGGGGCUAGCGUUGCUCGGAAUGACUGGGCGUAAAGCGUGCGCAGGCGGUUAUGUAAGACAGUUGUGAAAUCCCCGGGCUCAACCUGGGAACUGCAUCUGUGACUGCAUGGCUAGAGUACGGUAGAGGGGGAUGGAAUUCCGCGUGUAGCAGUGAAAUGCGUAGAUAUGCGGAGGAACACCGAUGGCGAAGGCAAUCCCCUGGACCUGUACUGACGCUCAUGCACGAAAGCGUGGGGAGCAAACAGGAUUAGAUACCCGUGUAGUCCCUGUCUCUUAUAC
rnacentral:rRNA from 1 species